rnacentral:sRNA from 12 species
ACGUUUUACUAUGAUUACAAUAAACUCAGUUAAGAUCGGCUAACCACCGUGCUGAGAAUAUGCGUAUAUCGACAGAUGGUUAUAUGGGAUUGCUUUAUAACUGUUUGUUCCAAAAUACCGUGAGAUAUAUUAGGAUAGUGGGAAAAUCCCUAAAGAUAAGCAUAUGUACUGAGGGUAAACGUAGUCAAAUGCUAUCCACUUAUCGUUGACACAAUAGAGAGCUGCACUUGCAGUGCUUAACCCUGAUGCCUGUGACUUGGUAACUCAUAGGAGUUAGGUAGGGGAAUACCAAAAUAAGUCAAUUUGCCGUGAUGGUUUGGAAACAGACCUAUAAGAUAAGUCAGAUGAUGGAGUAGCCAAAGGCAGUAGAAGAAUAAUUUUUUAAUUUAGAUAGUAAAUUCAGGUAAGUUUACAUAUCAAAUUACAACUUCUGAAUGGUUGGUGAAACUUGUGGCGUGACCAAUCCCACCGAUGCGGAGACAGGUGUAUUCCUGUUGGUUAAAAAGUGUAUGAAUGACGGUUUAUAUGCUCAGAUUUAGCUAUAUCGUGGCAGAAUAUGAUUGCGUUUAUCGAGGCAGCCCGAAGGGGUUAUUGUAAUCAUAAUAAAGC